GGGUGGAUUAGUGGCGAACGGGUGAGUAACACGUGAGUAACCUGCCCUUGACUCUAGGAUAAGCCCGGGAAACUGGGUCUAAUACUGGAUAGGAACGUCUACCGCAUGGUGGAUGUUGGAAAGAAUUUCGGUCAUGGAUGGACUCGCGGCCUAUCAGCUUGUUGGUGAGGUAAUGGCUCACCAAGGCGACGACGGGUAGCCGGCCUGAGAGGGUGACCGGCCACACUGGGACUGAGACACGGCCCAGACUCCUACGGGAGGCAGCAGUGGGGAAUAUUGCACAAUGGGCGAAAGCCUGAUGCAGCGACGCCGCGUGAGGGAUGACGGCCUUCGGGUUGUAAACCUCUUUCAGUAGGGAAGAAGCGAAAGUGACGGUACCUGCAGAAGAAGCACCGGCUAACUACGUGCCAGCAGCCGCGGUAAUACGUAGGGUGCGAGCGUUAUCCGGAAUUAUUGGGCGUAAAGAGCUCGUAGGCGGUUUGUCGCGUCUGUCGUGAAAGUCCGGGGCUUAACCCCGGAUCUGCGGUGGGUACGGGCAGACUAGAGUGCAGUAG
rnacentral:rRNA from 1 species